rnacentral:rRNA from 1 species
GAACGGCAGCGGCAUGCUGCGGUACCCGCCAGGAGAGCCAGGCCGGGCUCGAAAUGGUGGCCGCCAGGCCAGGUACCUUUCGCCUGGCGCCCUGACGAGCCAGGCCAGGCCAGGCCAGGCGGCCGCCGGCCAGGUCUGCCGCCGAGCCAGUCCCGGGCCUGGCCGGGCCUGGCACAGGUGGGACUUCAAACUCAACCGAACCAGCCCCAAAAGCGGACUAACAGGGAAUUAUUUAGUUCGUUAACACACCAAAAACCUGAUCAAAAAAAUAUUUAGCCUAGUUGAGAUAAGGAAAAUACUUUAAUGUCCUCGUGGGACGGGAAUUCUUUCAAGGGAUUUUUUUAUGUUUACAUACCAUCAAUGAAUAGUCUAUAAUGUGUCGGAAGCAAGUGGAGUACGCGGUCACUGCGUUGCCCACCUUACAUCAUUGAGUUUUAUAAAAUGUGGCACAACAGUCUGUUACCGCUUGGGCCGGCCGGCCGGCCGGUUUAAAACAAUAGAUUUUCCUUUACUGCACAUUCCCACAAUGAGUGUGGUAAUCCAAUCACCUGCGUUGCUGGUAGUAGUAAAGAUAUACUAAUAUCAACCACUCAACCCCGAGUUGAACGAGAUGUAGAUUGUGGGAAUGUGGGAAUUAGACCGACCUCGUUUUAGAUGCGAGACGGUAGUUGCAACUGCGACGUCCGAUCCCGUACGUCGGACCCCAACAACAGCAGCAGCUAGAAGGAGUUUCGUGUACUCGCGGUCUAGAGUAGCUAGUGACGAGUCGCCCGCGGACCAAGAUGUCCUAAUCAAUGUAUAGAACGAAGGCGACGCCAUACAUAAAUGUAGAGACAAAGAGAGAACUUAAAAAGUCUACUAGACACGUCUGAACACCGAUCGUUAUUUUAGAAGGAAAAGUUCUGAUUUAAUUUGUUUCUUAUACAAAGACAACGACUUACUAAAUUAAAAUUUAGCGAUUCCGGAGCAAUCAAAACUUCCUAAAAGCAUCCUUUUUGUAUCCUAGUUCCUAAGGUCUCCUUUUAAAGACGUUCUACGUAUCUUUUGCGCAUGUCUUUAAAAUAAUCCUUAUGAUAAAUAAAAGAUACAAAAACUCCUGCGCGACGGUAGACCAAUUUUGCUUCCCUCUUUUGCUGGGUCAGUUAAGGACUUCUGUCCUACGACGACAGAGACUCAUCCUUAGGAUGGGCCAGUUUGAGUCGUCCCCCAUUCCAUACUUGUUGAAGGCUAAUCUCUUACAUCUCGUACCGGGUAUCCUAAAGAAAUAGGGAUCACAUAGAGUCAGUGUGGUAAAAGUCAAAUCACCUAUGCUGCUGGUAGUAGCACAUCUUAACGUCGAGUCGAACGAGAUGAUGUUGGGUGUGAUUGAUUAGACCGACGUCCUGGUGAUGCGAGAUCGUAGCUUCGCAACUGCGACGUCGGACCCCAGUAGCAGCAGAAGGAGUUUUGAGUCCGUCCGGCGCCGCUAGGUUUCGAGCGGCUAGAGACGACAGACGAGUGACCGGCCGUCCACAACGUGGCCCACAACUAACACUUACCUAUCGCUGUAAACAUAGUCUGUGUUUCAACUGGACCUCGCCUACGACGAACUACUUUCAUGUCUCGGUUGCGCGGACCGCAAUAGCGAAAAUCUUCUGUAGUGUUUGACAAAGAGACUACUACUCGUUUAACCGUCGCCACCCAAGCGGUACCAAAUAUUCCCUUACCACCCUUUUCCCUACCAGCGACACUUCUUCGACAGGUUGUGUAAACCACACGUACUCUUAUUUAAGAUAUUUCUCCAACUCACGGAUUACUUCCAGUUCGUGUUUUUGUAUCACGCAAAGAACCCUAUAACAAGGCUGUGCGUUCCCUCUUGACGUUUAAUGCUUCCCUUCAAACAGUACCGUCUCGACGCUUUAACCAACGAUACAAAACUCAUACAUUGCUUACCUUCGGAGCUAUUCAUAUAAUGACUGCGUAUAGCGCCUGAACUUACCUCCCUCGCGAUAUUAUAAUAGUUCCCUUAUACACUCCCGAAUGAAGUAGAAGUGCUCUUUGCGUAAGAGGUGAAUCUGGACUUCGGACCAUUAUAUAACCAUCUACUAGUGUACCAUGGGUUUUAACGACUAAAACCAGAUAGUUCCACGGAACUAUUUCUCGUUUGGGCCCGAAGAUGGAACUUGGGUACACCUAGCUACCCUAUAAACCGUGGUCUUAGGAAGCCUCCCUUUGAUUGUAAGCGUAGUCUGUAUAUAUCAGAACCACAAUAGUAUUACCUUUAUUACUGUCCUCUCUUCCCUAUAGGUCUUCACCUACACCAAUUCUGAACCUACUUAGCCAACCUCCCUAGUCUAGUUUACCUCCGUGUGAACCUCGUUCACUCUCAUACGUAAUUCUAUCCCUACCUUACGUAACUGAGCCUGGGUUUCUUCUCUGGUCAACGUGCCGUACAUUUCCUAUCCGAACUAUUUUAGUGUUCAUGGUACCUUUGACCGUAGUCAUCAAGUAGUAAACUUGUUCAAUCAGAGGAUUUCCUUGUUACAACACUUCUCUUUCAACGUUUCGAAAGUAGACUCAUGGAACCUUUCCUGUAGUUCCUUGUACGACUUUGUCUUCUUGAACGUUUUAUAUAACCCCGUGGAUUUCUUCUAGUAACCGUCGUUUAAGCUCUUUUUCGAGGUCCACUAGUUACCAGUAAUACCCCUCGCGUUCUAUGUUUAGUUUUACAGUAGGGUGUAACCGUCGUUCCAGCUCUUCUUCAAGGUCCACUAGUCACCGGUAAUACCCCUCGCGUUCUAUGUUUCGCCUAACUGUAGGGUGUUCCACGUUCGUCAAGAUCGAGAUUGAGACCAAAGGAGAUGUUCGAUUUGUUAAACCUGUAGAAGUUGUGUUUUCGUGCGUCCUUGAUGCUCGCCAUGCCACCCGAAUGUAACCUCUUCUGUUCUUGACACUCUGAAAAGUCUUUCCCACUCGAGUUUGGUAAAAAUUUCCUAUUCUUAAACUAACCUUUUCCUGCGAUACCUCUUCAAAUGUCCCCUGAACAACUACUAAAACGUGGUCAGCAUCAUUCCUUCGACUAAUCACCAUGACACGGCCUCCUACCCCCUGAUAAAGGUUUACUUCAGCUCUAGGUUACGGCCCAGUAAGUGUUUUUGUAGCAAUCCGAGUAUCCAACAACGAACCUUCAACUGUGGGGCUACGAUCAGAUACUCAAAGAGAGAUCUCCAUCGGAGUCACUGUAAGAAGUGUCGUUGUUCCACAGAGAGUUGAACCUAAACGCAAAUUCAUAACGACGUUUUAGUAGUGUACCAAAUCGAAUAUACGUAAGUUACCGGUCAUCAUCGUUAUAGAAUGUACCAUUAAAAUCUGGUAGUUUAUAUGAGAACUUACUGUUGAAACUCGGAUUCUAGAGUCUGAAACCGUACAGUUCCUACCGACACGGUGUGUGACCUUAUCAACGACCACUGUACCAAAUAUACCUAGGCCAUAUGGAUGUUUGUCCGCACGAUUGGUUUGUUCCACUACACAUGUCGAAACCUCAAUGGUAGAACCUCGAACAAUGAUCCUUCUCCCGGUUGUCGAAUCAUUCCUAUAAGGAACUCUUAGUGUUCGUCCCAUUCUUUAGUUGGCUGAACAAACUAUUUGUUUAACGCCACUGCCUUCUAAACCUCGAAGAACUGUGAGACCGUUCUUAACGACACCUUACGGAGUUGGUACUACUCCUGGAUUCCGGCUGUUACCAUCUACAACGUUUCGCAGAUAGAUAUGACUUGGCUAGGGCAUUACACCCACCUGAUCAACUACGUAGAUGAUCACCUCAAACUUGUUGUACAUACAACACAGCUUAUUCGAAGACUAUCCGUGUUGAUAUACAAUUGCACACUACUAGCUUCACAACGACACUUUUUUAGAAACCUUACGGUUGACAUUUGACACUACUUUCGUGCGGGAGAGUCCAGAGACAGCCUAACAACCAAGGUGAAAGAUCCUUAACACCGAAGGUAAAAUAAGUAUGGUAGGUAGGAAUACUACGAUCACUAAUUAAGAACGUUACACAUGAUGAACUCACAACUGAGACAAGUAUCCCCCAAGUAAAACUACCUCAAGUAUAGUGUGACGGUGGUUG